UGUAGAACUGAAUUGUAUUGCAAAAUAAAAAAAAAAACUAUAAGAAGGGAGACAAUAUAGAAAGAAUGCCCAUGUGUCUGAGACCAGAGUGAGAUACAAGAUGAACACCCAAACAACAGGGGUUACCCCUCAAGUGAUUGCUACUACCAGCAACACCAAAUUACAAGCAUCUUCACAAUGAACAGAAGACCAUGGCUUCUGGAAGUUCACCAUGAUACUUCCCACCACUUUAAGGAUAAGGUUCACCCUAGAACAACAAUCAAACCCUACCAAAAAGGGAUGAAAUGCAGAGAAGAGAGAUAUGAGUCCUGCCUGGACCAACACAGAUUAAGGAAAGCAUCUAAGUGAAUAAACCCAAAUAGAAGAUUCUUGGAGUUCUUCAUCCAAGGUAUUCUCAAUACACUCAGCCCUGUACUUCAACACAGUCACAAUGGAGCCCUUUGAUCUCUUCCUUUGGUCAUGGACUCAUAAACCAGAUCCACUGAUACAGUUUCUCACCCCUAGUUCUCUCCUCCCAUGUGGUCCUCUCCUUUCUGCCCAAGGCUACUGAAUAUAUGUCCAGUGUAUGCAGAAAGCACACUCACUCCUGGAAGGUGACACCUUAUAGGAACAACAGACACAGCUUCAUUGAUGAUCAUUAUUAGAAGCUCUGCCAAUACCCUGGAAUAAACCUCAUUAAAGGGGAACUUCCAUGCCAGGAUUGCUACCCUCACUAGCACACACCUCAGCCUCCAUGGCUCCUGAGGGAUUCCUGGAAUUCUCUCCAACCAAUCCCAUCUGUUAGUUCAGAAUCCCAUCUUCCCAUUGGCUUCUGCCCUGUUUAUGACAUCAUUCUCCCUCCAACCCUACCAUCACCUGGUAGGUACUUGUGGUUGGCAUGGCAAUGCCUGUAAACAAAUUUGGAUCAUCACAGGUCACCUGCGACCAGUGACCAGUAAGUGCUGUCUGAUACUGGACACACUUGUGACUCAGGUCAGCUGAUCACACAUGGACAACCAAUUCUCUUGCUCCAUUAUACUGUGGAUUGCUGAUACUCUCCCUCUGACCAUGGCAGUGGUGCAAAGGGAGACUUCCCUGGGAAUCACACAUCAAUCCAGAGACUCCCUCAGCUGCAGAACAGACCUCUGCUACUCCUACACCCUGGAUUACCAGAUGAGAACACCACCUGUUGAUGGAGACAAGACAUUACCUACCCCAACUACAACCUUCAGAAUUCCUUGUAUUGUCACAAGCUCCAUGACUGGAACUGCAUUCCCAGAUAAGGACACCAACUAUUGAUGGGGACAAGUCAUUAACAGUACCCAACCUUCAGAAUUCCUGGUAUUUCCACAAGCUCCAUGCCUGGAACAGAGAAUGACAACCUGCAUGAGAUGGCAGCAAAUCUGUCAAUGCCUCUGGAUGCCUAUGAGUGCAUGAAAGAAAACCCGGACCCAUCUCUCCUCCCUUUAGCACACCCCGACAUGCAGCAUCCCUUGCACUUCACUGAUGCUGGGAGCCUAGGGCAGAAGCUUGCUUCUGACAAUGCCACCAGGGAAAGCAGCAGUCAUGGUCAGGAUGAGCCUGGAACAUGCACAGUGUGUUGGCCUCCAGCAUGGACUUGCAGACAUGACUAUGCUGAUGGCAGAAGUUCACAUUCCCAACUGCUUAACUCCCUCUCUGAACUAAACCAAUUCCAGGUUCCCACAGCCACCUAAUGCAAAGACUCCAUAGUCUUCAGGAGCAAUCAGGCCCAGUAAAGAUAAGGUGUCAUCAGCACACCCUUAAACCUGUUGAGGAUGAAGGAAGAGAGACACUCUAAUCUGCUUCAUGGAGAAUCUCUAGCCAGAAUCCAGUAUCAGGACCUUGUGGAAGGAGAGAAGCUUUGGCUAGUGCUGUGGCCAGAAGGAGAUAUUGACAACACAGACAAGCAAAUGGAGGGAAAGCUCAGAAGGUCACACUCUGUAGGCUCAGUAGACCUAGGGUUCAUGGGCAAGUUGAGACCAAAAAGAGCUAGAGAAAUCAACUCCAUGAAAGCUGAAGGAUCUGAAGCCAUCAAGUCAGUCAUGGCAGAAGAGAAGCCCACUGUCCUCCACAACAAUAGGAAGUGGAAUCCACUUGAGCUCAGCCAUCAUAGCUUUAAAAAGCCUCAAACACACCUCGGCUUGCACAUGCUGGUGUCUGUGAAGGUCUGUCACUCACUGUGGAAGAAGGGAGAGAAGAAAACUGGCAUCUCCUGAACCUUCAACUCUUUGUGCUACUCUGUGCUCUAAUAGUAUCAGAGUUUGUUACACUUUGGCCUCUGAGACAUUUGUCAUUAUCUUUUUCCAGGGUUACAUAUACUAAACAAAAUAAUUUAUUUAUUAACUCACUUUCAGAUUCUUGAGACAGGGACCCUCUCCAUAGCCCAGCAUGUCCUAGAACUGACUACAUCGAACACGCAACAUUGAACUCAUGAAGAUCUGCCUGCCUCCCCCUCUGCCUCCAUCUCCAUCUCAGCCUCUGCCUCCCCUUCUGUCUCCACUUCUGCCUCCUCCUCCUCUGCUGCCUCAAGAGUGCUGAGACUAAAGGAAUGCUCCAAGAAGCCAGGUGGAAUCCAGAUUCUUUCUGUACAUGUGAAUAACAUUUCCAUGCAUGUCUUGAUGAAGAGGCCAUGUGUACUCCAGGGUGCAUUUUUGGUACAUACCUAAAAUCCAAAGAGACUAAACCACAUGUGUUUACAACCGCAACUAAACUCGGAUUAAUCUUU